CAAAGUAUCUGAUACCAUCUAUUGCCCCAUAAAUCGAAGUUGAUGAGGUUUGCUGUUGGUUUAAUAUUUCUUUAACCAACUAAAAUUUUUUAUUAACCGGACUAAACCUUCUUUCAACCCAAUUUCUAAACUAAACCCAUCUAAUCGUAAAAUUAAACACCUCCGACCGUGGUAGACUCCGGAGUAAAGACCACGACCUUGCAACUCAUAAGAACCAAGCUCGAAGAGCUUUACUCUAGUCUUGCUGUUUUAGAGAAUCUCAGUUCUGGAUUCGAUCCAUCUUUCUCUUGCUUAAUCUUACUCAUUCUAAUCUCUCUCUUGUGAACCUUUCCUAAUGCAUACAGUGAGAAAUUUCUGAUGCAAAAUUGAUUUAGAUGUCAUGGCUGGGAAUUUUGAUGAUAGCUCCCGAUGUGCGGGUUCUUACAGCGAAUUUGGUGGUGAAUUGAUCAGUACUUCGUGUGGAAAACUGUUGAGAAAUCUCAUUGGUGUUUAAAAGACCAAGUGGUAUAUGGUUGAAGAAGAUGAUAAUGUAGUCACUUUUAUCAAGCUUUUGGAUCCAACGAAGAAGAUGAUACUGUAGCUACUUUAAAAAUUAAUUUCAUAUCUGGUUUACGUCGGUUCUA